rnacentral:rRNA from 1 species
AAUGAACGCUGGCGGCGUGCCUAACACAUGCAAGUCGAACGAGAAAGCCCGCAAGGGUGAGUACAGUGGCGCACGGGUGAGGAAUACAUAGGAAUCUGCCUCUGGGUGGAGAAUACCCUGGAGAAAUUCAGGUUAAUACUGCAUAAGCCUCGACAGAGGGAAAGGCGGCCUCAAGCUACCGCUGAGAGAUGAGCCUAGGGCCUAUUAGCUAGUUGGUGGGGUAAAAGCCUACCAAGGCGAAGAUGGGUAGCCGGCCUGGGAGGGGGUACGGCCAGACUGGAACCGAGACACGGCCAAGACUCCUAUGGGAGGCAGCAGUGGGGAAUAUUGGACAAUGGGCGGAAGCCUGAUCCAGCCAUGCCGCGUGUGUGAAGAAGGCCUUAUGGUUGUAAAGCACUUUAAGCGAGGAGGAGGCUACUUAGAUUAAUACUCUAGGAUAGUGGACGUUACUCGCAGAAUAAGCACCGGCUAACUCUGUGCCAGCAGCCGCCGUAA